UACGUAGGGGGCAAGCGUUGUCCGGAAUUAUUGGGCGUAAAGAGCGUGUAGGCGGCCAAGCAGGUCCGCUGUGAAAACUCGAGGCUCAACCUCGAGACGUCGGUGGAAACCGUUUGGCUAGAGUCCGGAAGAGGAGAGUGGAAUUCCUGGUGUAGCGGUGAAAUGCGCAGAUAUCAGGAAGAACACCAAUGGCGAAAGCAGCUCUCUGGGACGGUACUGACGCUGAGGAGCGAAAGCCAGGGGAGCAAACGGG
rnacentral:rRNA from 1 species